rnacentral:tRNA from 1 species
GGCUUUGAAUGUAGUGGUUAUCACGCAUCCUUCACACGGAUGAGGCCGCCGGUUCGACCCCGGCAUUGGUCA